rnacentral:misc_RNA from 1 species
CAUUAACCGAGUUCAUGCCCUUACGGGUAGAUCUCCCACCCUAUGUUAUCAUUACCUUUGUUGCUUUGGCGGGCCGCCAGGCUUCGGCUAGGCUAUCGGCUUCGGCUGGUAAGCGCCCGCCAGGGGACCCAACAUCCUGAUUAUUAGUGUCGUCUGAGUACUAUAUAAUAGUUAAAACUUUCAACAACGGAUCUCUUGGUUCUGGCAUCGAUGAAGAACGCAGCGAAAUGCGAUAAGUAAUGUGAAUUGCAGAAUUCAGUGAAUCAUCGAAUCUUUGAACGCACAUUGCGCCCCUUGGUAUUCCGAGGGGCAUGCCUGUUCGAGCGUCAUUACAACCCUCAAGCAUUGCUUGGUGUUGGGCUCCGCUGCUAACCUAGCGGGCCUUAAAAUCAGUGGCGGUGCCGUCGGGCCCUGAGCGUAGUAAAUCUCCUCGCUACAGGGACUCGAUAGACGCUGGCCAUCAGCCCCCUUACUUUCUAAGUUUGACCUCGGAUCAGGUAGGGAUACCCGCUGAACUUAAGCAUAU